UAAUAAUUUUAAUUUUAUUUUGUUGUAUAAAAUUAUUUUAUAUAUAAAUUUUAGUGUGAGAAUAAUUUAUUCUAUAUGAAAAAAUUUAUUUUAGUUGUAGUAAUUAUUUAUUAAAAAUUUAAGAAAUUAAGAUUUAGUUAAUAAUUUAUAGUAUAGUCUAAUUUUGUGCCAGCAGUCGCGGUUAUACAGAAUAUGUAACAAUAAAGUUUUGGUUUUAGUAUAUUUAAAUUUAUUUUAAUUAUUAUUUUAAUUUAUUAGGUGAAAUUUUAAAUUUUUAUAUAAUUUAUUUUAAUGAGUAUUGAAAAAGUUUUUUAUUAGACUAGGAUUAGAUACCCUAUUAUUGAAAAAGUAAAUAUAGAUAGCCUAAUUAGUAGAAUAUAUGUUUUUGAAAGUUAAAAAAGGUGGCGGUAUUUUAGUCUAUUCAGAGGAACCUGUUUUAUAAUUGAUAAUCCACGAUUUGAUUUACUUAUUUUUUAAAUUUGUAUAUCGCUGUAGAUUGAAUAUUUUAUAAGAAAAUUAAUAUUCAAUAAUUUUAUAGAAAAAAUUUCAGGUCAAGAUAUAGUUUAUAGAUAAGAAAAUAAUGGGUUACAAUAAAUUUAUUUAUGCGGAUAUUUUAAUUUAAUUUUAAUUUUGAAGAUGGAUUUGAAAGUAAUUUUAUUUAAAUAAUUAAGAUGAUUUAAGCUCUAAAGUGUGUACAUAUCGCCCGUCGCUUUCAUUUUAAGAUGAAAUAAGUCGUAACAUAGUAGAUGUACUGGAAAGUGUAUCUAGAAGCUU
rnacentral:ncRNA from 1 species